GUCCACGCCGUAAACGAUGGAUACUUGGUGUUGGAGGUAUUGACCCCUUCAGUGCCGCAGCUAACGCGUUAAGUAUCCCGCCUGGGGGAGUACGGUCGCAAGAUUAAAACUCAAAGAAAUUGACGGGGGCCCGCACAAGCGGUGGAGCAUGUGGUUCAAUUCGAUGCAACGCGAAAAACCUUACCUAGAUUUGACAUGUAAUGGAAGGAUCCUAGAAAUAGGUCCGCCUUCGGGCCGUUACACAGGUGCUGCAUGGCUGUCGU
rnacentral:rRNA from 1 species